rnacentral:rRNA from 1 species
GACGAACGCUGGCGGCGUGCUUAACACAUGCAAGUCGAACGGAAAGGCCCUGCUUUUGUGGGGUGCUCGAGUGGCGAACGGGUGAGUAACACGUGAGUAACCUGCCCUUGACUUUGGGAUAACUUCAGGAAACUGGGGCUAAUACCGGAUAGGAGCUCCUGCUGCAUGGUGGGGGUUGGAAAGUUUCGGCGGUUGGGGAUGGACUCGCGGCUUAUCAGCUUGUUGGUGGGGUAGUGGCUUACCAAGGCUUUGACGGGUAGCCGGCCUGAGAGGGUGACCGGCAAAAUUGGGACUGAGAUACGGCCCAAACCCCUACGGGGGGCAGGAGUGGGGAAUAUUGCACAAUGGGCGGAAGCCUGAUGCAGCAACGCCGCGUGCGGGAUGACGGCCUUCGGGUUGUAAACCGCUUUCGCCUGUGACGAAGCGGGAGUGACGGUAAUGGGUAAAGGAGCACCGGCUAACUACGG